rnacentral:rRNA from 1 species
UACAGAGGUCCCAAGCGUUGUUCGGAUUCACUGGGCGUAAAGAGCUCGUAGGCGGUUUGUCGCGUCUGCCGUGAAAGUCCGGGGCUCAACUCCGGAUCUGCGGUGGGUACGGGCAGACUAGAGUGAUGUAGGGGAGACUGGAAUUCCUGGUGUAGCGGUGAAAUGCGCAGAUAUCAGGAGGAACACCGAUGGCGAAGGCAGGUCUCUGGGCAGUAACUGACGCUGAGGAGCGAAAGUGUGGGGAGCGAACAGG